UCUCCUCUACCUUCAAGUACUUUGAAGUGCAAUUGAACCCAAGGUUAGAGGAUAAUCAAGCUAACUCCUUAUCCUAUCUCGCCACCUCAGGAUAUCUCGAGCUUAGAAAGAAAGUCUUUAUUAAACAAUUGGAGAAGCCCAGCAUUGAGGACCAAAGAUCAAUAUUGCAGGUCAGUCACAAACUAAGCUGGAUCCAUCCCAUUGUCAAGUAUCUGACAAGCAGUGUCCUACCUGCUGAUCCCACC
rnacentral:lncRNA from 1 species